GUUUCAGUUGGCAUUUCUUCCCCAAUUCAUGACAUUCUGCCUCGCGUUUGAUAUGAAAAUGGGUCAUUUGAGGGUUCCGGCUAUGUGAAAAACAAGGACUGGACCUGCGAUGCAGAAAGAAAGUUAUCAUGACUUGGACAACAAUGCAAGGAAGUGAGCUACAGUUUCAAAACAGAAAAGAGUCAAGAAAAAAAUGAAUUAAAGAUCUUAAAUUAAGUUCCUUUUGGGCUGACUUUGAAAAGCGGAACACUAAGGAGCCACCAGGAUACAACCUGCUCAGCACAAACAGAGGAGAAGUGAACAUCUCCAUUCCAUGUUGAUAUUCCAGGCACAAAAAAACCACAACAGUGCACCAGCUGAGCAUGUGUCAAUAUGGUCUGCUCUACAGCCAAAGUGGAUUAUUGAUCGUUUGGAGACAAACAGAGGUUGGGCUGUGUCUUCAUGUUUAUCCAGACGCUUAAAAAGAAUAAAGAAUGUCAUUGUCAGUAAACCUAAGAGUAACUGCUGGAUGGUUUGGUCUUAUAGCUCUGUUAGGCUGUUGUACAUAAAUCAAAGGUGAAGGCUUCAAAGACAAACCAGUCACCAGAACAUAGUAAUAAAAAAACAAGAGGGAAUAACUGCCUCUCCUACCCUCAGUGCAGUAAUUUGCUGGCGGCUGCACUGUGACAAGGGGAACCUGUGUCAGCACUCUGCCAGGAUCCUGGAAAAAUCUGACUCCAGUUUUCCUUCCUCUCCAUUUCAAUGUGCAAAUGAAGGAAUGACGAGCAAAAUAAGUCCAAAUAAUGCACUAAUUCACACAACAAGGGGGACAAAUGUCAAGAGGUCACAGACGGUGGGACGUAAAAAAAAAAAGGCAAGACAGUUUCAAGUGCCUCAACACUGGAGGUCCUUUAAAAGUUGACCAGCUUUCACAUCUCUAUGACUGAGCCUCCGUGGGACAAACACAGUGUGCAUUUUUCCUAAUGCAUCAACCUUUCUUUUCCAAACAACCUUUUAUCG